rnacentral:rRNA from 1 species
AUACGGAGGGUGCGAGCGUUGUUCGGAAUUAUUGGGCGUAAAGAGCAUGUAGGCGGUCUGUUAAGUCUGGUGUGAAAGCCCGGGGCUCAACCCCGGAAGUGCAUUGGAUACUGGCAGACUUGAGUAUGGGAGAGGAAAGCGGAAUUCCGAGUGUAGGAGUGAAAUCCGUAGAUAUUCGGAGGAACACCAGUGGCGAAGGCGGCUUUCUGGACCAAUACUGACGCUGAGAUGCGAAAGCGUGGGGAGCAAACAGGAUUAGAAACCCUGGUAGUCC